rnacentral:rRNA from 1 species
UACGUAGGGUGCAAGCGUUGUCCGGAAUUACUGGGCGUAAAGAGCUCGUAGGUGGUUUGCCGCGUCGUCUGUGAAAUUCCGGGGCUUAACUCCGGGCGUGCAGGCGAUACGGGCAAACUUGAGUGCAGAAGAGGAAAGUGGAAUUCCAUGUGUAGCGGUGAAAUGCGCAGAGAUAUGGAGGAACACCAGUGGCGAAGGCGACUUUCUGGCCAUAAACUGACGCUGAGGUACGAAAGCGUGGGUAGCAAACAGG